rnacentral:pre_miRNA from 1 species
UUGGGGCAAAAUAGUGGCUAGUCCGCUUGGGUAAAAAGAGAUCAACAUUUGGGAUAAAAUUAAUUUUGUUUCUUUUUACUCAAUUUUUUUUACCGUGGAUAAAAAGAAACUUCUUGGGUAUAAAAAGAACCAAAUUUAAAUUUACCUAAGUUGAUGAUUUCGUUUCCCCCAAGAUUGUUGGUCACUAUUUUUCCCCAA